AGCGGACGCUGGCGGCAGGCUUAACACAUGCAAGUCGAACGCCAUCUUCGGAUGGAGUGGCAGACGGGUGAGUAACGCGUGGGAACGUACCUUUUGGUUCGGAAUAUUCUCGGGAAACUGAGAGCAAUACCGAAUAAGCCCUUAGGGGGAAAGAUUUAUUGCCAAAAGAUCGGCCCGCGUUAGAUUAGGUAGUUGGUAGGGUAAUGGCCUACCAAGCCUACGAUCUAUAGCUGGUCUGAGAGGAUGAUCAGCCACAUUGGGACUGAGACACGGCCCAAACUCCUACGGGAGGCAGCAGUGGGGAAUAUUGGACAAUGGGCGCAAGCCUGAUCCAGCCAUGCCGCGUGAAUGAUGAAGGCCUUAGGGUUGUAAAAUUCUUUCAACGGGGACGAUAAUGACGGUACCCGUAGAGGAAGCCCCGGCUAACUUCGUGCCAGCCGCCGCAGUAA
rnacentral:rRNA from 1 species